GUGUCAGCAGCCGCGGUAAUACGAAGGGUGCAAGCGUUACUCGGAAUUACUGGGCGUAAAGCGUGCGUAGGUGGUCUGUUAAGUCUGAUGUGAAAGCCCUGGGCUCAACCUGGGAACUGCAUUGGAUACUGGCAGGCUAGAGUGCGGUAGAGGGUGGUGGAAUUCCCGGUGUAGCAGUGAAAUGCGUAGAGAUCGGGAGGAACAUCUGUGGCGAAGGCGACCGCCUGGACCAGCACUGACACUGAGGCACGAAAGCGUGGGGAGCAAACAGGAUUAGAAACCCUGGUAGUCC
rnacentral:rRNA from 1 species